rnacentral:rRNA from 1 species
CCUACGGGCGGCAGCAGUGAGGAAUAUUGGUCAAUGGCCGAGAGGCUGAACCAGCCACGUCGCGUGAGGGAAGACGGCCCUACGGGUUGUAAACCUCUUUUGUCAGGGAGCAAAGUGCGGGUCGGGACCUACUGGGAGAGUACCUGAAGAAAAAGCAUCGGCUAACUCCGUGCCAGCAGCCGCGGUAAUACGGAGGAUGCGAGCGUUAUCCGGAGUUAUUGGGAUAAAAGGGUGCGCAUGCGGAGUCACAAGUCAGCGGAAAAAUCGCGGGGCUCAACCCCGCUCCGCCGUUGAAACUGUGUAGCUUGAGUGCGCGAAGGGUAGGCGGAAUGCGUGGUGUAGCGGUGAAAUGCAUAGAUAUUACGCAGAACUCCGAUAGCGAAGGCAGCUUACUGGCGCGCAACUGACGCUCAUGCACGAAAGCGUGGGUAUCGAACAGGAUUAGAUACCCUAGUAGUC